UGGCUUUAGAGGAUUAUGCUAGGAAAAGGGGUGCCAGAGGCGUGAAAGCUGAUAGGAACAAGCCCUGUGGAUCAAGAGGCCCAUCAGUGAGCCUGCAGGGUCUAUGAACUCCUUACAUGCAAAAUUACAUGUGUCUGUCUGUGUAGGUCUCUACAGAUUGGUGGAAGUGUUCACAGCUUUCAUGAGAUUAUUAUUUUUUUUUUUUUAAGAAAGGCACACUGCCGCAUGCAACACCUCAUUUGGAUGUGUCUGGAGUCUUGGAAGUUUGACUACCCUACAUUCUCCUACAAAUGGACCUUGAGAGCUUGUUUGGAGGUUCUAGCAGGGGAGCGCAGCUACUCGUAUACCCUUGACCAAAGAACAGUCCUCCUCUAUUGGGGAAGGUUGUCCUCUUCUGAAACUACCUUUGCAAAAAUUAUAGCAGUGAGAAAAUUAUGACAGUGAAAGAAAUCUGACCUAAUUGACUCCAUCUUGCUUCUAACCUCCCAGCUGCCCUUGUUCAUUCCUGGGCAUAGGGAGCACUAACUUUGGGAGGAUUUAGUUUAUAGUUUAACUUUGAAACAAAGAUGAUAACAGCCCCUCCCUGAGACCAACCCACUCCUUGCCUGGGGACCAGAAAGCCUUUGUAAAACUAACACAUUGGCCACAAGAUUAGAAAUGACGGCUCAGGAGUCAUGCAGCCAAAGGCCUCGAGAUCAUGAACCUCCCCAAUUGCUCCUGUAGAUAAUAUUAUUAUUGUAAAACCUAACAUGGGUGUUUGAGGUAUUUUUCAGACCCUGCCUUCUGAUGGAUCAGCUGGCACCACCCAGACCAGUAAACUGGCUCAUCUGGUCUUCUGGCCCCCACCCAGGAACCAACUCAGUGCAAGAGGAUAGCUUCAACUCCUUAUGAUUUCAUCCCCGACCCAACCAAUCAGCAUUCCCGCUUCCCGAGCCCCCUGCCCGCCAAACUACCUUUAAAAAACCCUAGCCUCCAAAUUUUCAGGGAGGCUGAUUUGAGUAAUAAUAAAACCCCUGUCUCCUGUU
rnacentral:lncRNA from 1 species